GAUGGGCUGGCUCUUGCUGGCUGUCUCAGGUGCACUUGGGGUUCAAUGUGUCCAAUGGCAGAGCCUAUGACUGAUUUGGCUCAACCUGACGGCUUUGCAUGAGCAUCCUGGGUAACACUGCAAAUGUCAGGCUUGGUUUGGUUUGGAGGGAGGGAACGAAGUGUGCACCUAGCCCACGCCAGUUUAGACUGCAGCAUGAUCAAUGAUGGGACGAGGCACCAUUGUUAUUCAGGAACACUGCCCCUGCUCCGUCCCUUUUUAUAAGACAUCUCGCAAACACUGAAGGAUCCCUAGGAUUGUUUGGAGCUGCUGCUUGGCAAUGUGCUGGCCAGCGUCUUGGCAGUGAAGCAAUGGCACAGUCAAUAAGGUUAAUUACAGAAUUCAACGAAGCCUUUCUUCUCGGUAGCCGACCCAGCCUCCCAGCCGUUCCCUGGAGCCCCCGCAUUGUCAGUACGCUGCUGGAUGGCUACAUGGAAACCCAAGCACUCACCUUGUCACCGACCCAAACCCUCAGACCCCCCCGGCAAUCCAGCCGUCCAAAUUAUCUGUCUUCUCAGACGGAACGGCUAAGCAGUCCUUGACAAGCCAUAUUAAAUUCCUUACUAUUU